UACGAAGGGGGCUAGCGUUGUUCGGAUUUACUGGGCGUAAAGCGCACGUAGGCGGAUCGUUAAGUCGGGGGUGAAAUCCUGGAGCUCAACUCCAGAACUGCCUUCGAUACUGGCGCUCUUGAGUCCGGAAGAGGUGAGUGGAACUCCUAGUGUAGAGGUGGAAUUCGUAGAUAUUAGGAAGAACACCAGUGGCGAAGGCGGCUCACUGGUCCGGUACUGACGCUGAGGUGCGAAAGCGUGGGGAGCAAACAGGAUUGAG
rnacentral:rRNA from 1 species